rnacentral:rRNA from 1 species
UACGUAGGGGGCAAGCGUUGUCCGGAUUUAUUGGGCGUAAAGAGCGUGUAGGCGGCUAGGUAGGUCCGUUGUGAAAACUCGAGGCUCAACCUCGAGACGCCGAUGGAAACCCCCUGGCUAGAGUCCGGAAGAGGAGAGUGGAAUUCCUGGUGUAGCGGUGAAAUGCGCAGAUAUCAGGAAGAACACCCGUGGCUAAGGCGGCUCUCUAGUACGGUACUGACGCUGAGACGCGAAAGCGUGGGGAGCGAACAGG